UUAUACGUGUGUUAUUAUUUGCUAAUAGGAAGAUGUUCUAAGCUGGCUGAAAUAUUAGAGUGGAUAGCUAAAGAACAUCUGUCACUUCGAAAUUUGGAAGAUCAGUUAAAAAUUUUGCAAAAGGCCGCAUAUCAAGGGCAUUUAUUCGUGUAUUUUUAUAUAAUUACAACAGCAAUUUCAUCUACAGUAUAUGUUGGAGUAGUAAUAACACCUGCAUGUUUGGAUAUAUAUUUUCCAAUAGAAAAUUUUACUCGACCAAAAAUGUAUAUUGCGCAAGUUGAUUACUACUUCUUUGAAGCUGAUGAUUACUUCUUUUAUAUAACUUUGUUUUCUUUUUCAAAUGCUAUCUUUACUAUUAUUGCAGUCACCUCUCCAGAUUUAUUAUUAUUCACCUUAUGUCAACAUUCUUAUGGAAUGUUUAAAGUUUUUAGGUUUGUGGAUAAAGUAAACUACUGUUAUUCACCGUAUUUAUUUGUUAGAACUACUGUUGAAAUAAUAUUGAUAAGUUUCACAGGAGCAAUGGUUGUCAUAAAACUGCAUGAAACAUACUUCUUUUUGAUGUUUUUAAGUUAUUUAUGCAUCUUAAUGUUUCAUUUACUUUUAAUAUCAAUUUUUGGUCAACAAAUAUUAAGUCAAAGUGAAAAUGUCCAUAAUUACUUAUUUGAUGUAAAUUGGUAUGAAUUUUCCCAGCCGACACGAAAGAUAAUCUAUAUGGCUUUGAUGAAAAGUUCACAAUUUUCUUGUCUUACUAUUGGAAAAUUUGGAAUUCUUAAUAUUGAAACAUACAGUUCUGUAAGAAGUCAUAAAUAAUUUUUUAUUCAUUUUUGUCUUUAUUUUUUAAGUAAUUAGUUUUUUUUUAUUCAGCUUGUACGCCUGAUAUUUUCCUACUUAAGUGU